rnacentral:rRNA from 1 species
UAUUAUAGUAAGUGUAAUAAUGGAGACUUGAGUAGUAAUAGUUAUGGUCUUGAAACUCAAAGAAUUUGGCGGUGUUUUAGUCCUUUCAGAGGAAUCUGUUCUAUAAUUGACGAUACACGAGUAUUUAUACUUUCUUUAGUUGUCAGUUUGUAUACCGCCGUCAUAAGAUUAUCUUAAGGAGAGAUUCAAAUUUCUUUAUUUUAAAUUAAAAAGUAUGUCAGGUCAAGGUGCAGUUUAUGGGGAAGGAAGAAAUGGAUUACAAUAAUAAUAAUUAUAACGGAUGUAUUAAUAAGAUAUUUUUGAAGGUGGAUUUGAUUGUAAAUUUGAUUUAAUAUUAAUGUUUUGAUUAAGGCUCUAGAAUGUGCACAUAUCGCCCGUCGCUCUCGUUAAUAAUAUGAG